rnacentral:lncRNA from 1 species
AAAAAAGGCAGCCCAUCUUUGGGCCCAACCCUAAUUCCAUCUUCAUUUUAACACACCCACACACACACAACACACGCACACACACCCACAGCGCAGCAGCUGCGCUGCACAACACUCCCUCCCCUUCAUUCGCCUCCGGCCGCGGUGGCCGCCGCCGGCCACGCCGCCGUCCCCUGACUCCCCUCUCCCCCGUCUCUCGCCUCUCACACACAGACGCACGCACCCAGCGUCGCCAGCAGCCCCGCUCAGCCCUCUCUCCCUCUUCUCUCUCAACUGGCGGCACAAGGCGCAGCCGCCGCGGAGCGCCGCCGCCUCCGGCGUCCUCGCGGCAGAUCCGCCGUCGCCUCCUUCUGAAAAUCCAGCGGACGACGGCAGCGGCUUCACGCCACCACCACUGGCGUCCUAGCCCCCAACUCUCUCUCUCCCUCUC